AAGCCCCGAAAGGGGUAAGUAGAGUGGCAAACGGGUGAGUAACACGUGGGUGACCUGCCUUCGAGCGGGGGAUAACGUCCCGAAAGGGACGCUAAUACCGCAUAACAUCCUGCCUUUGAAGAGGUGGAGAUCAAAGCUGGGGAUCGCAAGACCCGGCACUUGAAGAGGGGCCCGCGUCUGAUUAGCUAGUUGGUGGGGUAAUGGCCUACCAAGGCAACGAUCAGUAUCCGGCUUGAGAGGGCGGACGGACACACUGGGACUGAGACACGGCCCAGACUCCUACGGGAGGCAGCAGUGGGGAAUUGUUCGCAAUGGGCGCAAGCCUGACGACGCAACGCCGCGUGGAGGAUGAAGAUUUUCGGA
rnacentral:rRNA from 1 species